ACACGCCUGAUGAGACCAGAGUGUCUCGCACACACACACACACACAAAACACACACGUGAUGAGACCGGAGCAUCUCACACACACACACACGUGAUGAGACCAGAGCAUCUCACACACACACACGUGCAUGUGACAGAGUGUCCUCUGAUUGCAGGAAGAGACAGAGGGGAGGAGGAGAUUGAGACGAGGGAGCGGGCCAAGAGAGAGCGAGAGUGGCAGAAGAACUUUGAGGAGACACGUGACGGACGCGUGGACAGCUGGAGGAACUUCCAGGCCAAAGGCAAGACUAAGAAA